rnacentral:rRNA from 1 species
UACGUAGGCAGCGAGCGUUGUUCGGAGUUACUGGGCGUAAAGGGUGUGUAGGCGGUUGUUUAAGUUUGGUGUGAAAUCUCCCGGCUCAACUGGGAGGGUGCGCCGAAUACUGAAUGACUAGAGUGCGGGAGAGGAAAGUGGAAUUCCUGGUGUAGCGGUGGAAUGCGCAGAUAUCAGGAAGAACACCCGUGGCGAAGGCGGCUCUCUGGAACGCAACUGACGCUGAGACGCGAAAGCGUGGGGAGCAAACAGG